AAUUCCUGGACUCAAGCGAUCUGCUCACCUCAGCCUUCCAAAGUCUGGGAUUACAGGUGUGAGCCACCACACUGAGCUGAUUUUUUACAUCUAUGUACUUUCAGUAAGAUCUGAGCAUUCAAGUGGAUAAGUCAGUUCAGGAGAAAGACAUUAAUCUAAAUAAGCACCAAAGUAGUUACAGAGAAACAUACAUGCAGAAAUCCAAUUGCCAAGAAAUCUUUUGCAUCUGAAUCACUUGGGAGUCUGUGUGCCUGAUCAUACUACAAACUUCUGGAGUUAUUCUGCAAGUCUCAAAAUGCUAAUCAGACUUUCUUACACAUGCUUGUGUCUUCUAAAACUAAAUUGGUGAUUUCAAGUUGGUAUGCAUUUGCUAAAACAUAGAAAUCUUCUAAAGCUCCCAUAAUUAUGUGUAACUAAUACAUUCUUACUGUCUGUGAUAUGGUUUGGCUGUGUCUCCACCUAAAUCUCAUCUCACAUGUUGUGGGUGGGACCUGGUGGGAAGUAACUGAAUUACGGGGGCAGUUACCCCCAUGCUGCUGUUAUUGUGAUAGUGAGUGAGUCCUCAUGAGAUCUAAUGGUUUUAUAAGGGGCUUUUCCCCCUUUUGCUCAGUACUUCUCCUUGAUGGCACUAUGUGAAGGACAUGUUUGCUUCCCCUUCUACCGUGAUUGUAAGUUUCCUGAGGCCUUCCCAGCCCUGUGGAACUAUGAGUCAAUUAAGCCUCUUUCCUUUAUAAAUGACCCCAACUCGGGUUUGUUUUUGUUAGCAUCAUGAGAAUGGACUAAUACAGUCUGCUAAAGGUUUUUUUUUAAAAAAAAAAAAAAAAGCAACUGAUUUCUUAAAGUGAAGAGGAAAGUAAAGAAAAUUUAUCUCAUACUAAGUGACUUCACUUGGCAUUUUUUCAAAUCACUAUGAUACACUAAAAUUGGGUCACUGGCAAAUUCACUUGAACAACCACUAGGCUAAGCAAAACAGGUGUAGUACCCCUUAGACCAACUAUGCAUCACUUAAACUUGGGGAAGGGGAAAAGAGAGCAUGUUUUUAUCUUAGCUAUUCUUGGGUAUAUUUGUAUAUAUCCAGAUAGCUAGAGUGUUAAUGUAUGUGUGUGUGUGCACAUGCGUGCAUGUGUGUAUGUAUUUAUCUCAGAUCAAGUUAGUUCAAAGUAAGGGCAGAAAUGCUGUUUCCUUUUUCAAUAGGUAAUGUAUUUAGAGAAUCCAAGAGGUUUUAGUUUUGAGAGAGCAUUUCUAAAGAAACAGCACUAUCAUACAUUCUGUCCACCCAAAAUUAACUAAAAGACUAACAUACAAAAGGUGAGAAUACAAAAGUUUACACUGAAAUGCACUCAACCAUGAUUGUGAAGUUCUUACUACCUUUAACUCCCAUCACCCUAGUAAACAGAUAAUGAAGGGAAGAAAAAAACCACACCUCUCCAAGAAAUGUUAUGCACUAAUCAAAUGUUGCGAGGGAGGAGGAAAAGGGAGGGAAGGCUAGCACAAUACCUACUAGCAGGAGGCUAAGAUCAGUUAAUACAGCAUAUUUUCAAUCUCUUUUAUCUGUGUACUUUAAAUUCUCAAAAUGGUAUAAAUUCUUAUAGUUGGGAUUUUCUUAGAACUUCAACAAUUAAACAUCAUACCAUUCAGCACAUGAAGACAAGAAAUUACUACAUCUGAAGGUUAAAAGUAAACUUUAGUCUAACAUUGUCUCUUAUUUAGUUCAUCUCCAACAAACUAUCUGCCAAGCAGUGUGCUACAUGGUAGACGAUAACAGUAAAUACCACAGAACACCAUGAUGUGUAAGUUUAGGAUCCAAUGGAGAAGACAUUCAAAUUAAGCAACUGUAAUCUGGUAAGGUAAGUAAGAGGAUACACAGGGAUACAAAAAAAUACCUGUCUCAGUCUUAGAAUUUUAGCAUACAUUUCCUGAAAGAACUGAUGGCUAAACUGAUGGCUAAACUGAUUUGGAAAAAGGGAGGGACUGAGAAGGAAAGUGAGAAAAACGUAACAGGCAAUGGGAAAAAGCACAGGCAAAAAAAAAAAAAAAAAUGACUUAU